UAGGGAAUCUUCCGCAAUGGACGCAAGCCUGACGGAGCAACGCCGCGUGAGUGAAGAAGGAUUUCGGUUCGUAAAACUCUGUUGUUAGAGAAGAACAGCGCAUAGAGUAACUGUUAUGCGUGUGACGGUAUCUAACCAGAAAGCCCCGGCUAACUACGUGCCAGCAGCCGCGGUAAUACGUAGGGGGCGAGCGUUGUCCGGAAUUAAUGGGCGUAAAGGGUUCGCAGGCGGAAUGUGAAGUCCGAAGUAAAAGGCGAAAGAUCAACUUUCGGAAGCGUCGGAAACUGUCAAGCUUGGGUGAAGGAGGGGCAAGUGGAAUUCCUAGUGUAGCGGUGGAAUGCGUAGAGAUUAGGAGGAAUACCGGUGGCGAAGGCGACUUGCUGGGCUUCAACUGACGCUGAGGAACGAAAGCGUUGGUAGCAAACAGG
rnacentral:rRNA from 1 species